rfam:Ovis aries breed Texel chromosome 14, whole genome shotgun sequence.
UCCCUGGUGGCUCAGAAGGUAAAGAGUUUGCUUGCAAUACAGGAGACCCAGGUUCGAUCCCUGGUUUGGGAA